AUAUAAUGAAAGUUAUGGACCUUCUUUUGCAUUUUUUUCCCAGAAAGAUCGGAAACAUGACGUUAUAAACAAAAUGGACAUGUGGCCAUUUGUAUCAAUAAGGGCAUUAACAGCUCAAGAAAUCUCAUCAACAGAAAACUUGAAUAUAUUUUCCAACAUUACAGAAUUUCAAGUUCGUCUUAAAUCUAUUGUUAAAAUUCUGCAUUCAAGCCAGGCAUGGUGGCACACACUUGUAAUGCCAGCGACUCAGGAGGCUGACACAGGACGAUACCAAAUUCCAGGUCAACCUCAGCAAUUUAGCCAGACCCUGUCUCAAAAUGAAAAAAAAAAAAAAUAGGAUUGGGAACAUAACUUAGUAGUAAAGUGCUCCUGGGUUAAAGCCCCACUGCCAAAAAAAAAAAAAGAAAGAAAAGAAAAAAAUUCUACAUUCAUGCAUUAGAGAGUGAUGUCUAUAAGCAAGGGGCCCCAGUGGACCAGUUCAGGCACCUGGAGUAAAAGGGACAUAUUCUUCAUUUCCCUCAAAUUCAUUAUAGGAUGAUAGCUAUGAUUAGGGAAGCAUGUUUCUAGCUCUCAAAAACAAUUCUGUGCUUUCCUGAUGUUUUCUUGGCUUUUCUGUUGCCACUGUCUCAUCUGAAUUCUCUGAGAGUUCAUCUCCAGGGUUGAAAGUCUCCACCCUGGAAAUCAAGUAAAUUCAUGUCUUCCAAAUCUUGCAGUAAAACUGAUAUUCCACAAAGAUGUACCAUGGGAAUUUUGCUCUUUUGCAUCCUCCCUGCAUGAAUUUCAACUGUGCUAUCUCUGAUGAUAAUGGUGUAGUGAUGUAGUUCUUGAAGUUAAUCUGCCAUAAUUUUUUCCUGAAACAAGUAAGGCAGACUUGGGAACAGCCAGGACAGCAAGGAACGGGCUUAAAAAUGCAUUUACCAGCCAGGCACACUUGUAAUCCCAGGAACUCUGGAGGCUGAGGCAGGAGGAUCUCAAGUUCAAAGCCAGCCUCAGCAGAUUAGUGAGGCACUUAACAACUCAGUGAGACCCUGUCUCUAAAUAAAAUAUAAAAAAGAGCUGGGGACGUGGUUCAGUGGUUAAGUGCCCCUGGAUUCAGUCCCCAGUACCAAAUAUAUAUGUUUCAGUAUAAUAUUUAGACAGUAGCUUCUGUGAGCUAGGCACUGUUUUAAUUGCCUUAUGAUGUAUCAAUUCAUUUAAUCCUCACAAAAAUC
rnacentral:lncRNA from 1 species